rnacentral:rRNA from 1 species
AUGCAAAAAAAUAGGGAUUUAUUCAUGUGACAAACAAUAAUAAUAUUAUUUGAUAAACAACAAGAAAUUAAAAAUAAUAUUGAUAUUAUUUUGUUUAUAAUUGUUUUGGUUUAUAGUUACAGGUUUGGGUUUUUAAGUAAAUUCAUUAGUAUAAAAGAAGACAAAAGGAGACUAGGGGCCAGUUUGUUAAAAAAAUAAAAUUUAGAGAGUUUUUGACUUUUAUAAGAAAGCUUAAGUAAAGAUUUGAAGUUUUGAAAGGGAAACAUCCGGCACUAAAAAAUAUUAAUUGGUCGGCAAAGUUAGUAGUGGAGAGCGAGGGCUUUGUAUUUAAGUUUAUUAAGAGAGCAAUAUAAAGUAUUUUGUUUACUAAUAAAAUAAAAUUUAUUAAUAAGCGGGAAGACCGCAGCUUGUUUUUUGUUUAUUCUUAUAUAAAUAAUAUUGGUUUAUAGUAAAUAGGCCACCGAUAGAGAAGAGUACUGUGAAGGAAAGUUAAAAAUUUUGUCUUUAAAGCAGAUAUUGUUAUCGUACCUUUUGUAUAAGGGGUUUGUAAGAAGUUUUUAGCGAGGCGAGAGCCGUAAUGAGAGUGAGUUUUCUGUAGUUAAAAAUCCCGAAACUAAGUGAUCUAAUUAUGGGCAGCCUGAAGUUAUAUGGGAGUAUAAUGGAGGGGCGAACUGGUAACUGUGGCAAAAGUUUCAGAUGACCUAUAGUUGGUGGUGAGAGACUAAUCGAACUUAGAAAUAGCUGGUUUUCUACGAAAUUUAUUUCAGUAAAGUGAAAAUUUAAAUAAAUCUUAUUUAUGGAGAGUAUAUUUUAUAUUUUCAAUGAGAGUGGGGGCGUAAAGUUGUUGCUCGAGAGGGGAAAAGCCCGGAUAUUAGCUAAAGGCGUGAAAAAAUUUUAAGUGCAAAAGGGGGAUUAAUUUAGAUAAAAAGAAAGUGGGCUUGGAAGUAGCCAUCUUAUAGAGAGUGUGUAAUUACAUAAUUUUCAAGUUAUGGCCCUUGAAAAUGUGGGCGACUUAAAAAAGUAUUAAAGCUAUGGGUAUUUAAUAUGGAUUUAUUCAUAUUAGGCAAAAUUUAGGUAGUAGAAUAUACUGUAUUGGAUAAUGAAAAUAGAUCAGUAGAAAUAAUGCAAACAUGAGUAAAAAAUACCUGGGGGCAGUCUACAAAAGUUGUAAAAAUUAAUAGGCGGCAGGAAAAUUUAAUAUUAAGAGAGAUUAUUUGUUUUUUCGCCAAUACAGCAUACUGUACUUAUUAAAAUAAUAAUAGGCUUUCUAUUUUUACUUUUUGUAGUAUAAUUUAAGACUAUCGGGGAUAGUUGAAGAGGAAUGGGGGUUCCGACUGACAAUAGAGGGUAUUUAAAUGAAUGAUUUUAUAUUAAGGAAUUCGGCAAAAUGUUUUUGUAAGAUUACGAGAAGAAAAGAGUUUAAUUAAAAAAACUAUAAAUUUUUGGUUUUGUUAGUUGGUUUAAUUAGACAAAAAUUAGGAGGUGUCGACUGUUUCGCAAAAACAUAGCUUCUAGUAAAGAGUAGAGGUGAGACCUGUCCAGUGACUAUUUCUAAAUAUCGUUUCGAUUAUAAGGGUAGUUAAACGGCCGCGGUAAUUAUGACCGUGUUAAAGUAGCGCAAUCAAUCGCCAAUUAAUUGUUGGCAAGUAUGAAGGUUUCACGAAUGCCUCACUGUCUCAAUAUAAAGUUUAUUGAAAUUGGAAUUUUAGUGAAGAUACUAAGUAGUAAUUGAAAGACGAGAAGACCCCGUGAGCUUUACUGGAGUGUUAGUUAUUAUUAAUACAGACAGUUUAGUUGGGGCGACUCCCCUAUAAAGAGUAACUAGGGGGCUUGUGGGUUAAGAAAUAGUUAAACCUAAGACAAUAAGGGGGCCCUCCCAAAUUGGCAUGUAGUUUUUGGUUUAUCAAAACCUUUUAUAACUUGGUGGGAUAUAUUGAUCCGUAAUUUAUGGAUUACGAGAGCGGCAAAAAGUUACCGCGGGGAUAACAGGGUAAUUUUGUUUGAGAGUUCGUAUCGAAGACGAAGUUUGCUACCUCGAUGUUGAAUUGUGAUAUCCUGAAGGCGCAGGAGUUUUCAAGGGUUGGACUGUUCGUCCAUUAAAAUCGCACAUGAUUUGAGUUCAGACCGGCGUGAGCCAGGUCGGUUUCUAUCUUCAAUUAUUUAAUGUCUUUUAUUUUUUUAGUACGAAAGGAGGAAAAAGAGCUUGUUCUAUGAUUUUUAAUUACGACAAUUAAUUAAUUAUUAAAUACAUAUAUAAGAAAUUUAAAGAGUGUGUUAUUUUAGAUAAAAAUAAUUUAAAUACUAAUAAUGAUAUAAAAUUUAUUAAUAAGCGGGUUUGCCGUUGGUUACAAUAGUUUAUGCUUGUAUAAUGGGCGUUUUCUAUUGUUUAUGUCGGGGUAUGUCUGAAUUAAUGGAUGCUGCAAGAUAUAUAGGAGCAGGUGCCGCAACAAU